rnacentral:rRNA from 1 species
CUCUGUGACUCCUACGGGAGGCAGCAGUGGGGAAUAUUGCACAAUGGGGGAAGCCCUGAUGCAGCCAUGCCGCGUGUGUGAAGAAGGCCUUCGGGUUGUAAAGCACUUUCAGUAGGGAGGAAGGUAGUGUAGUUAACACCUGCACUAUUUGACGUUACCUACAGAAGAAGCACCGGCUAACUCCGUGCCAGCAGCCGCGGUAAUACGGAGGGUGCGAGCGUUAAUCGGAAUUACUGGGCGUAAAGCGCAUGCAGGCGGCCUGUUAAGUCAGAUGUGAAAGCCCCGGGGCUUAACCUCGGAAUUGCAUUUGAAACUGGCAGGCUAGAGUCUUGUAGAGGGGGUAGAAUUUCAGGUGUAGCGGUGAAAUGCGUAGAGAUCUGAAGGAAUACCAGUGGCGAAGGCGGCCCCCUGGACAAAGACUGACGCUCAGAUGCGAAAGCGUGGGGAGCAAACAGGAUUAGAUACCCUGGUAG